AGAGUUUGAUCCUGGCUCAGAUUGAACGCUGGCGGCAGGCCUAACACAUGCAAGUCGAGCGGUAACAGAGAUAGCUUGCUAUCUGCUGACGAGCGGCGGACGGGUGAGUAAUGCAUAGGAAGUUGCCCAGUAGAGGGGGAUAACCAUUGGAAACGAUGGCUAAUACCGCAUAACCUCUUCGGAGCAAAGCGGGGGACCUUCGGGCCUCGCGCUACUGGAUACGCCUAUGUGGGAUUAGCUAGUUGGUGAGGUAAUGGCUCACCAAGGCGACGAUCCCUAGCUGGUCUGAGAGGAUGAUCAGCCACACUGGGACUGAGACACGGCCCAGACUCCUACGGGAGGCAGCAGUGGGGAAUAUUGCACAAUGGGCGCAAGCCUGAUGCAGCCAUGCCGCGUGUAUGAAGAAGGCCUUCGGGUUGUAAAGUACUUUCAGUCGUGAGGAAGGUAGUAGGAUUAAUACUCUUAUUAUUUGACGUUAGCGACAGAAGAAGCACCGGCUAACUCCGUGCCAGCAGCCGCGGUAAUACGGAGGGUGCGAGCGUUAAUCGGAAUUACUGGGCGUAAAGCGCAUGCAGGUGGUUUGUUAAGUCAGAUGUGAAAGCCCGGGGCUCAACCUCGGAAGGUCAUUUGAAACUGUCAAACUAGAGUACUGUAGAGGGGGGUAGAAUUUCAGGUGUAGCGGUGAAAUGCGUAGAGAUCUGAAGGAAUACCGGUGGCGAAGGCGGCCCCC
rnacentral:rRNA from 1 species